rnacentral:rRNA from 1 species
UACGGGGGGGGCGAGCGUUGUUCGGAAUUACUGGGCGUAAAGGGUUUGUAGGUGGCCUGCUAAGUCAGACGUGAAAUCCCUCAGCUUAACUGGGGAACUGCGUCUGAUACUGGCGGGCUUGAGGACAGGAGAGGAACGCGGAAUUCCCGGUGUAGCGGUGAAAUGCGCAGAUAUCGGGAGGAACACCAAUGGCGAAGGCAGCUCGCUGGGACGGUACUGACGCUGAGACGCGAAAGCGUGGGGAGCAAACAGG